ACCCUCUCAGGCUUGCACCUGGAGAGUUUCCAGUAUUCUACCAGUUUCAACUAAGGGAAGGAGAGACAAGCAGAGGCCUAUCCAUUCCCUUCCUAGCUUGGGCAGUGGCUAGCGAGUGGAAGGCAAUCUGCUACAAGU
rnacentral:snoRNA from 1 species